rnacentral:rRNA from 1 species
GAUGAACGCUGGCGGCGUGCUUAACACAUGCAAGUCGAACGAGAAGUGAAGACGGAAACCUUCGGGCGGAAGGCUUUAUUUCGAGUGGCGGACGGGUGAGUAACGCGUGGGUAACCUGCCUCAUACAGGGGGAUAACAGUUGGAAACGACUGUUAAUACCGCAUAAGACCACAGCACCGCAUGGUGCGGGGGUAAAAACUCCGGUGGUAUGAGAUGGACCCGCGUUCGAUUAGCCGGUUGGCGGGGUAACGGCCCACCAAAGCGACGAUCGAUAGCCGAUCUGAGAGGAUGACCGGCCACAUUGGGACUGAGACACGGCCCAAACUCCUACGGGAGGCAGCAGUGGGGAAUAUUGCACAAUGGGGGAAACCCUGAUGCAGCGACGCCGCGUGAGUGAAGAAGUAUUUCGGUAUGUAAAGCUCUAUCAGCAGGGAAGAAAAUGACGGUACCUGAGUAAGAAGCCCCGGCUAACUACGUG